rnacentral:lncRNA from 10 species
CAGUGAGCCGAGAUCAUGCCACUGCACUCCAGCACAGGCAACACAGCGAGACUCCGUCUCAAAAAAAAAAAAAAAAAAAAAUUAAUUCAGCUUUACUGUAAGUCUGAAAACAUUCAUAAUAAAAUGUUGGGGGGGAAAAGAUUCAUUCUGAUUGAUGGUGUGAGAAGAGGCUGAAGGGGUCAAAGGUAGAGCAGGGAGAACGGAUGUGGAGGCUAAUAGGAUAAUCCAGGGGAAAGCUGGUGGCUUGGAGAUAGCGGUGGUACUGGAGGUGGAGACAGGGUUUUGAGUCUGCUGUUGUUUGGAGGGACAGCCAGGAGGAUUUCAUAGCAGAUUGGUUGCAGGGUAUGAGAAAGAGAGGGGUCAAGCUUGACAUCAAGUUCUUUGGCCUGGACAGAUGUAGUUACCCGUCCUAGACAAUGGCCAGGCUGCUGUAUUCCAUGCUUCGAUUUUAGAAGGGCCCUUGCCCCACUGUAAAGCAGGUGAAUGUGUCUCUGUGUCCUCCUUUCCCAAGGACUUUCCUUGUCCUCCCCAGACCCAGGCUGUCACCCUGUGUGGCUUCUCCUAGCCUGACCCCUUUAUGAUGCUCAUUGCAUGCUUCCAUCCAAGCCUUGGUAUUGCUAUGGAGUAGAAAUAGAGCUAAACUUGGAGUCAGAAGACCAUGCCUCAGAUACAUUGCCGAACUUUUCAGAAUCCCAGUUUUCUCUUUCAUAAAACAAAGCUAAAAAUGCCCAUCAAGAGUAUGGUGGAAGUGAGAAAACAAGUGAUUGAACAUUGAACUUGAAGAGAAUCUUGUGCAUUUACUCUUUCCUGCUCUGUUUUCUUCACAUGUCAUUCCCCACUGAAAUUUGCCCAUUUUGGAUCUCAUUACCCUGAAGGUCCUGGAUUUGUUGGAAAGUUCCGUGUAAUUCCUGGAGUUCUAUGGUGACGUUGUCAAGUACAAAGCGCUGGCCUAGGAGCUACGACAUGGGAGUUCCAAGCCUGCUCUUUCUCGCACGAGCUGAGACAGGCCUAAGUUCCUAUAGUCUUCUUGGACUGAGAUGAAAGAUAGCUGCUUUUUCCCCCCAGGAAACAGGCUGCAAGUUUGCCUAAGCUGAGUCAGAAGAAAAAAGGCAGCAUCUGAAGCAGACGUAGAAACUGCACUGAGAAAAGGAGGAACAAAAUAUAAACUCUAAAUAGAGUUUUAUAAAUCUUAACAGAGGAUAUUGGUUUUGGAAGAGAGUUUAGGUUCAGAAGUUUGGGCAUUGGAGUAUGAGAGCCAAAGCUCCAAUUAGCCAUCCAAAAGGCUUGUGAAAAAAUGCUGAAUGAGCUUUCUGUAGAAAUCUUUUCCUCUCUUAGUCUUGCUUAAAGAAUUUCUUGGGCUGUAGACAAGAAGCUGAAUCAGAAAUACCAAGAUUUAGCCAGUUUGGGCCAGUAUUAUGGAGUAGGAGGAUAGUAUUAUGGAGUGAUAUGGUGUUUUUCAGUACAGAUGAUCAGUUUCUCAAAUCUCUGGUAGUCUUAGGAGUGGUAUGUAAGGGCAUCCCAAAAUAUCUCAUCACUCCAAAAGAGGAAAGGAUGCCAGAGAGACAGCCUGUGGGCCUAGGGCAAGGAAAGCAGGGUGCACUAUCAGCUGGAGGCUGAUGAAAACUCAGACAUCAGCAGUGAGUGGCUAAACCAAAGAGCAAUGUGAGCCAAAAACCAGAAGUCUCUCUCCUGCCCUCACUCCCAGUAGCCUAGCUGUGAUACAGGUUUCCCAGAACUUGAAUUAGCUCUGGGGAGAAUGGUGAAGGGGAAAUCCUGGAAUGUCAGAAAGCACCAGUUUGACAAAAAUUAAGUUCUCUGAUACUAGGUAAAAUGGGCUUAAAGUAGAGUUUAGGUUGAAUAGUAGAAAAGUAAAAUGACAUUUUCUUUUUUUGCAUAUCUAAAUUCUGAGAAAUGUGUACCCACUACAUAAGCAGAAUAAAUAAAUCCAAUGUCAUAUUAGAAACUAAAAUUAGUAAUGAAUGAACAUUAUUCAACUGUAUUGAAUAACUUUGUUUGUAUGGCACUUGAGAGUUGACAAGUGGUUUUGUGUACUUAAUCUUAUUUGGUCCACUCAAUAGCCUGCAAGGUAAGCAAGUCAAAGACCUUUCCUUUACUUGAAAAUAUAGACAGCUAUGAAAUACCAUCCCUGAAUAUUCAUUGAUUCAAUUCAUCCAAGAAAUCAGUGAAAUGCCAUAUACUUACCACCUACUUGACAUUUCAUUUUCCCUGGAGUGCAUUUCCAAGAGGCUGUGAGGGAUAUAGAGCAGGGUCACAAAAGCAUCAUGAGAGGUAGGAAUGUAGUAAGACCAAAGGGUGGCAAUGCCUAUAAACAGAAAUGGGCAUAGAGGUAAUAAGGAUAAAACAAUGAGUUCUUGACAUUUUAUGUCACUGUUGCAGAAAGGAAGGCAAUAUGGUUUGGCUGUGUCCCUACCCAAAAUCUCAUCGUGAAUUGUAACUCGAAUUAUAAUCCCCACGUAUUGGGGGAAGAACCUCAUAGGAGGUGAUUAGAUCAUGGGGGUAGUUCCCCCAUGCUGUUCUCAUGAUUCUCAAGAUAGUGAGUUUUCACAAGAUUUGGUGGUUUUAUAAGAGGUUUUUCCCUGCUUCGCUCUGUACUUCUCCUCCCUGCCAUCGCAUGAAGAAGGACAUAUUUACUUCUCUGUCUGCCAUGGGUUGUAAGUUUCCUGAGGCGU